AUCCUCUUGGUUCUCCACCCUGGCAUUGUGUCCUCAGCUCCAGGGCAGGUCACACGCUUUCCUGGACCAAGAUUACAUGCAGGCCACCCCUGCUGGCCCCCUGCCCCACAGAGGGAGGCCUGGGGUCAGGGAUGGCACCAGGACCACAGCUCCAUUGCUCCCUGUAGGAAUUCUUCACGCAUGUUUGAAAGACAAGAAUUACGGAAACAAAGCAGAGGGAAGAUUCUGGAUCAUUGCAAAAGGAGAAGUUUGCCUUCAGACCAGCAGGGGGCGCAGUGAGACCUUCUCUGUGUAUUUCUGCAGGCCAGGUGCUCACAGCUGGGGAGCCCUCAACUGACAGAGGCCCAGGGCUGCUCCUUCACUUCCUCCUGGGACUCUGCAGCCUUGUCCCAUCUGUGCCUGGCAGAGUCCUCUACACGUGACCCUGUGUGUGGUCCCAGCAGCUGCUGCUUUCUCUGGUCCCACCUGUGGGGCAAACUCUUGCUUCAUGCCAGCCUCCCUGUCCAAGGGCCUGGUCCCUGCGAGUGCACCUGGGGGAGAGGCAAUGGGGGAACACAUUUGCAUGGUCAGCCCCUCCUCUGUGAGCCCAGUGACACUGGGAUAAGAGAGGCCUGGGGCAGCCCACUCCUAGGUCUGUGGCCUCAGAGGCAGCUGUGUCCACCAUGGCCCUGACUCCUCUCCUCCUCCUGCUCCUCUCUCACUGCACAGGUUCCCUCUCCCUGCCUGUGCUGACUCAGCCGCCCUCCCUGUCUGCAUCCCCGGGAGCAACGGCCAGACUCCCCUGCACCCUGAGCAGUGACUUCAGUGUUGGUGGUAAAAACAUGUUCUGGUACCAGCAGAAGCCGGGGAGCUCUCCCAGGUUAUUCCUGUAUUACUACUCAGACUCAGACAAGCAGCUGGGACCUGGGGUGCCCAAUCGAGUCUCUGGCUCCAAGGAGACCUCAAGUAAUACAGCGUUUUUGCUCAUCUCUGGGCUUCAGCCUGAGGACGAGGCCGAUUAUUACUGUCAGGUGUACGAAAGUAGUGCUAAUCACAGUGAGAGAGACAGAUGAGGAAGUCGGACAAAAACCAAGGUUUUAAGCUUGUCAUUUUUACCGAACUGGUUAAGAACUUCAGUGGUUAAUAAAAUCACAUUAAAUACUGGAUUGUUGUUAAAAAUGGUGGCACAUUAUAACUGUCUCCCAUUUUUUUCACAUAAUGCCAUAGUGACUGUAAUUAGCUAAAAUCAAAACACAAAAACUUAUACCAACACUAAGGAAUACUAACAUUACUAACCAAUUUCCACUAGUAAAAGUUGUGAAACAGCUGAAAUACAUCCAGAUGGCAUAAUACAUAAUACCACCAUAUACAAGAGUUGUAUGAAAUUAUGUAUCAUGUGUAUAUAUAAAAUUAUGUAUCAUGUAUAUGUAUAAUAUAUGAAAUAAAAUGUCAGCAGACAUUACCAUCUUCCCACCAGUAGCCAGCAAUUCUGCUCU